AGUCCUCCCUCAUCCGCAGUUUCGUUACUUCCGACAGGACACAGACGAUUCUCCUGACGAAUCAUCAGAGGGUCAACAGUAGCCUAGCGCUGCGUCACAGUGCCUGCGUCAUUUUCUUCGCUUCAUCUCAUCACAUAGGUAUUUUACCGUCUCACAUCGUCAUAAGAAAAGGGGAGAUACAGUAAAAGCUCAUACUGUCUGUAUAAUGCUUCCACAAGCACAAGUCCUUGGCGCUGCUGAUUCUGCUGGGCUUGAGCUAACGUUGAAGAGCAUUUAAACAAACAUUGUGUCACUUCCUAAUGGCCAUCAUAGACUCAAAUGUUUGCAGAUCUAAAAAAGAGAGAAGAGAGAGAAGUCAGAGAAGCCGCAAGAAGGGAAUAUUGAAGGAGGAAGCAGCAGUUUUGUCAAAUCUUUUAAGCCUGAGAAAAAUGAAGACCAGAAGUUUGGCACCAUGGAGGUCAAAGAUGCCCAUAGCUGGGACCAGGCUU